rnacentral:tRNA from 1 species
GCCCAGGUAGUAUAGUCUGGCCUAGUAUGUACGGCUGUCACCCGUGCGACAUCGUUCGAAGAGGAGACGUGACGCGGGUUCAAAUCCCGCCCUGGGCGCCA